CACAGGUCCAAGGGGUAAGAAAGGCCAAGAUGGUAUCAAAGGGGAAAAGGGGGAGCGUGGAGAGGCAGGGCUGAAGGGUCUUCAAGGAAUUGCGG